rnacentral:tRNA from 1 species
GGAUGUGUGCCUGAAUAAAGGACUACUUUGAUAGAGUAGAACAUAGGGACUUAGAUUUCCCUCACCUCCU